rnacentral:rRNA from 1 species
UACGUGCAAGUCGAGCGCGUCCUUGGGAGCUAGCGGCCUACGGUUGAGUAACGCGUGGGAUCUACCCAGCUCUACGGAAUAAUGCAUGACUGCGUGGACUAAUACCGUAUGCGCCCCCAUUUGGAGACUUUUGGGGGGAAAGAUUUAUCGGAGUUGGAUGAGCCCGCGUCUGAUUUUAUAGUUGGUGGGGUAAUGGCCUACCUAGGUGACGAUCAGUAGCUGGUCUGAGAGGAUGAUCAGCCACACUGGGACUGAGACGCGGCCCCAACUCCUACCGGAGGCACCAGUGGGAAAUAUUGGACAAUGGGCGCAAGCCUGAUCCCGCCAUGGCACGUGAGUGAUGAAGGCCCUAGGGUUGUGAAUGUCUUUCGUCGUUGAAUAUAAUGACUCUGUCCGGAGAAAAAAACCCGGCUAACUUCGUGCCAGCAGCCGCGUGACUACAACUGGGGCUAGCGUUGUUCGGAAUUACUGGGCGUAAAGCGCACGUAUGCGGAUCGGUCAGUUAGGGGUGAAAUCCCGGGGGCUCAACCCCGGAACUGCCUUUAAUACUGCCGGUCUAGAGUUCGAGAGAGGUGAGUGGAAUUCCGAGUGUGGAGGUGAGAUUAACAUAUAUGCAGAGGAACACAGUGGAAUUCCGCGUGCUCACUGGCUCUAUACUGACGCUGAGGUGAAAAGCGUGGGGAGCAAACACUCUUAGAUACGCUGGGAGUCCACACCGUAAACGAUGGAAGCUAGCCGUCGGUUAGUAUACUGUGCGGUGCCGCACUUAACACAUUGAGUGUUCACGCCUGGGGAGUACGCUCGCCAUUAUUACAACUCACAGGAUUGACGGAGUCCCGCCUGAGCAGUGGAGUCAUGAGAUUGAAAUCUCAAGCAACGCGCAGAGCCUUACCCAGCCCUUGACGUCCCGGUCGCGUUUAACUCAGAGAUGGUAUCCUUAACUUCAGCUGGACUUGAGACCGGUGAUACCUGUAUGAUCGACAGCUUCUCGCCUUGAGAUGCUGGGUUAAGUCCCGCCACGAGUGCACUCUCUCUCGUAGUGGCCAGCCUUAUUGGUCCCUCUAGGGGACUGCCUUUGAUAUGCCUACAGAAUUGGUGAUGACUUCAGUCUAUUGCCCUUACGCUGGAGUAACGACGGGCAUACAUGGAAGUGAACAUGUGCCCAUGAGAACUGGCGA